UACGGGAGGCAGCAGGGGGAAUAUUGCACAAUGGGCGCAAGCCUGAUGCAGCCAUGCCGCGUGUAUGAAGAAGGCCUUCGGGUUGUAAAGUACUUUCAGUCGUGAGGAAGGUGUUAAGGUUAAUAACCUUAGCAAUUGACGUUAGCGACAGAAGAAGCACCGGCUAACUCCGUGCCAGCAGCCGCGGUAAUACGGAGGGUGCGAGCGUUAAUCGGAAUUACUGGGCGUAAAGGGCACGCAGGCGGUUAAUUAAGUUGGAUGUGAAAUCCCCGGGCUUAACCUGGGAAUGGCAUUCAAGACUGGUUAGCUAGAGUCUUGUAGAGGGGGUAGAAUUCCAUGUGUAGCGGUGAAAUGCGUAGAGAUGUGGAGGAAUACCGGUGGCGAAGGCGGCCCCUGGGACAAAGACUGACGCUCAUGUGCGAAAGCGUGGGGAGCAAACAGGGAUUAGAU
rnacentral:rRNA from 1 species